rnacentral:rRNA from 1 species
UACGGGGGGAGCAAGCGUUGUUCGGAUUUAUUGGGCGUAAAGGGCGCGUAGGCGGCGCCACAAGUCACUUGUGAAAACUCUGGGCUCAACUCAGAGCCUGCAAGCGAAACUGUGGUGCUGGAGUAUGGGAGAGGUGCGUGGAAUUCCCGGUGUAGCGGUGAAAUGCGUAGAUAUCAGGAGGAACACCAAUAGCGAAGGCAGCUCGCUGGGACGGUACUGACGCUAAGGUGCGAAAGCGUGGGGAGCGAACAGG